rnacentral:lncRNA from 1 species
ACCCCCCAGAGGUGAUUCUGUCUGCUUCACCACACACUGUGCAGGAGGGAGAGAAGGUCACUUUCCUGUGCCAGGCCACAGCCCAGCCUCCUGUCACAGGCUACAGGUGAGGACGAAGACCACCUCUCCCUAGCCCCAAGAGUGAGCUUGGGAAGGGCUGGGACCUGAGUAGGUGUGCCGGAGAGCAGGGACAAGGGUAACAGCGCCACCAUUUCCUCAGGUGGGCAAAAGGGGGCUCCCCGGUGCUCGGGGCCCGCGGGCCCAAGUUGGAGGUCGUGGCAGACGCCUCGUUCCUGACUGAGCCCGUGUUCUGCGAGGUCAGCAAUGCCGUGGGUAGCGCCCACUGCAGCACUGCGCUGGAUGUGCUGUUUGGGCCAAUUCGCAGGCAAAGCCAGAGCCCCUGUCCGUGGACGUGGGGGAAGACGCCUCCUUCAGCUGCGCCUGGCGCUUGAACCCGCUUCCACGGGUAACGUGGACCCGCCGCGGUGGCGCGCAGGUGCAGCCCUAAAUCUGAGGUGGUGGCUGGCGGGGAACCAGGCUUCCUUGCAAAUCCGGCUUCUGACGUCCCUUCCCUGUCGCAGGUGCUGGGCUCUGGAGCCACAUUGCGCCUUCUGUCGGUGGGACCGGAGGAGGAAGGCGACUAUGUGUGCAGGGCUGAGCCUGGGCUCUCGGGCCAGUGGGGCGGCGCCGCGGAGGCUCGGCUGACUGAAGGAUGAGAAGGCGCAGCUUCCUAGGGGACCUAGCCCGUCCUGGGAUAGGGAGUGGACAGAGUGGGCAAGGGCUAAUGCAGUGGGAGUGGCCUGGAAGGAGCUUUACACCCAGCGGGGCCUGGAGACCGACCUAUUAAAGGCGAGGUUUUUAGGGGAAUCGGAGUUUGGAGGCAGCAUGGCCUGACUGAUUAAGGUUAGCGGAGAGUGCGCUGGCCAGACCAGGCUUUGUUACAGCCUUUGCGGAGAGCAAGGCCUCUCCUCUGAGUGACCCACCGUCUCCAUCCCAGCUCCCCCAGUAGUGACCGCCCUGCACUCUGAGCCUGCCUUCCUGAGGGGCCCUGCUCGCCUCCAGUGUCUGGUUUUCGCCUCUCCCGCCCCAGAUGCCCUGGUAAGGAAAUAUCACUCCUCCUGUGACCCAUCCAGCCGUGAUCCCUGACCUCCCACCUGGCCCCCCGAAACUACUGUGACCAUCUCUGCCUUCCCAGACAUCCCUCCUGCUUCUUCCUCCCUUCCUCAGUCUCCUUGGUGUCCUCACUCUUUUAUGCCCCCAGGUCUGGUCUUGGGAUGAGGGCUUUCUGGAGGCAGGGUCGCGGGGCGGGUUCCUGGUGGAGACAUUCCCUGCCUGGGAGAGCCGCGGGGGACAGGGUCCGGGCCUGAUCUCUGUGCUACACAUUUCGGGGACUCAGGAAUCUGACUUUAGCAGGAGCUUUAACUGCAGUGCCGGGAACCGGCUGGGAGAAGGAGGUGCCCGGCCCAGCCUGGGCUGUAGAGGUGAGACCCCCGCCCGAAGACCCCAAAUCUAGAGAGUCUAAACCCCACAAACUCAGGGAUCCCCCAGCCGAUGGUUGCAAAACCUCAGACCCUCAAAUGCAGAGACCUCCAAACCUUGGGAGUCUCAAAACUGUGGCUCAUUGAUUCCCAAGACCCCCCCCAACCACAAAUGCCUUCACAUUCUGAAUCCUAAACCAGAAGACUCCUCACACCUAGGGACCCCCAAAAGAGAAACUCCAACGAUUGCAAAGCAAAUUGCAAAGUAAAGGACCCCUCAAACUCCAAGACCUUCUAAAGCCAGGGAGUUUAAACUCACUCUCAAACUUGGGGAACCCCAAAUUCAAGGGCCUUUGGAUCUCCAAAUGUGCAACCUUUUGAACCCAGGGAUCCCAAACUCAAUCCCUGAGCCCCUGCUUCCUGGUUCACCCUCAGCCUUCUCAGGAUGUCCCCUCUGCUCCCUGCAGACCUGCUGCCCACUGUGCGGAUAGUGGCCGGAGUGGCCGCUGCCACCACGACUCUCCUUAUGGUCAUCACUGGGGUGGCCCUCUGCUGCUGGUGCCACGGCAAGGGUUAGUGCCUGAGCCCCGCCCCAGCUCCUCAGGCGCCAGCCCCACACACACCCUGCCUGCCCAGUGACCUGACCUGGCCUUGGGCCUUGGCUCCAGUCCCAUUUCCAGCUCUGCUCAGGGCUUAGUUCGCCUUGAGGUUCUGGUUCCCUCCUUAAGCCCUAACCAGACCUUCCCAGGGUCACAUUCCUAGGUGGGAAGGAUUCUUAUUGGUUUCCAACAUCCCCACCCGAUCCGCCUCAUUAGUUCCCAGUCCUCUCUCUUCCCGCUUAUUGUUCUGCACACAUUGUGACCCUGUCCAUCGCUUAACUCCACCCGUCGCUGUUCUUCAGCCUCAGCCUCUUUCUCCGAGCAAAAUAACCUGAUGCGAAUCCCCGCAGUUUGCGAGGCCCUGAAGAGGAGGAGACAGGCCGCUGCAAGGACCGGGUAGGAUGCCAGGGUCUCCAGACCCGACUGUGCCUUUAGACCCAAAUAGUAGCCCAGUCCCAAGAGGGCCCCCACAUUCAAACAGGACUCUAAGGCCAGGCAUGGUGCCUGACGUUGGUAAUACCACUUUGGGAGGUGGAGACACAAGGAUCACUUAAGGCCAGGAAUUUGAAGCCAGCCUGGGCAGCAUAGCGGGACCCUAUCUCUACAAAAAUACAAAAUAAAAUAAAAUAAAAAAUGAACCGGGUAUGGUGGCACACACCUAUAGUCCCAGCUACUCAGGACACUGAGGUGGAAGGAUCCCUUGAGCACAGGAGGUAGAGGCUGCAGUGAGCUAUGACUGCACCACACACUCCAGCCUAGGCUACAGAGCAAGACCCUGUCUCCAUUAAUUUUUUUUGUUUUUUAAGUAGGAGGGUUCUAGUCUUUUUUUUUUUUUUUUUUUUUUUUUUUUUUUUUUUUUUUUUUUUUUUAAACAGAAUCUCACUCUGUCACCCAGACUGGAGUACAGUGGCACAAUCUAGGCUUACUGCAACCUCUGCCUCCCUGAUUCAAGUGAUUCUCCUGCCUCAGCCUCCUAAGUAGCUGGGAUUACAGGCACCUGCCACCACACCUGACUGAUUUUGUAUUUUUAGCAGAAAUUGGGUUUCACCAUGUUGGCCAGGCUGGUCUUGAACUCCUGACCUCAGGUGAUCCACCCGCCUUGACCUCCCAAAGUGCUGGGAUUACAGACAUGAGCCUCCACGCCAGGCCUGAGGGCGCUAGUCUUAACAGUGACCCCGCACCCAAAUGUCACCCAAGUCCAUGCCCCUGACCCGAUUAUUCCCUAGGCCCACUAUAUCCCCUCAGCCCUUUUUUUUUUUUUUUUUUUUAGAGACGGAGUCUUGCUCUGUCGUCCAGGCUGGAGUGCAGUGGCGUCGAACUCAAGCUCCACUGCAAGCUCUGCCUCCCGGUUUUACGCCAUUCUUCUACUUCAGCCUCCCGAGUAGCUGGGACUUUCCCUCCAUCUUUAAAGCCUACAGCAUAGCAUCUUCAAAAAAACCUAUCUGACUCCUCUUCUGCCUCACUCUUACUUUAAAGGACACGUGUGAUUGCAGUGGGCCCACUAGGAUAACCCAAAGAUAAUCUUCCUAUUUUAAGCUAAUCAUCUAAUUUGCAAACUUAUUUCCAUCUACAUCCGUAAUUCAGCUUUACCACAUAACACGAUCUAUCCAUAGAUUGUAGGGAUUUGGGUCUGGCAUCUUUAGGUGGGGACAUUCUACUUAUAACAAUAUGUAGAAAAUUACUGCCUAAUGUAAACAAAUUGUAAUAUUUAUUGUCUCUCUCUGGACAGAUCCCUAAAGCACUUCAUCUGUAUCUGCAAUCCUAUGUUUAUUUUUAAAAUAUAGCUGUGAAUAAACAUCACAAAAUUAUUGGUCAAUUUCAGUGGUGCAUUCAUGUUUUGAUAUUAAUCUUUGUAAUUUCCUGCAUUUUAACUAGUGGAAAUAAAAAUACAUCACAUGUAAAUAAAUAUGAAUGCAGUGAAAUUAUUAUAGAGAACUAGUUCAAUGAAAACGAAUAACUUAUCUUUCUUUUAAGCAUAACAUCUAUAAAUUUAAGUGCAGUUUUAAAAGGGGAAAAUGAGUAGAAAAAAAUAAAAGAAUUACGUAAUGUACAACAAUUAUUAAGGAAAAAAGCCCAUUUGUCAGAAAAGAGUAAGUUAUAUGCCAUUAAAGAAAUUAGAAAGUAUCAUUCAAAUAAAAAAAAAAAACAAAUAAGAUCUACGUGAAUGUAACUUGACAAAACAGCAAGAAUUUCAGAUAUAUUCAACAUAGCCAUGUACACAGAGAAACUUCUACCUUAACUUUGAAGUUCAAAGUUCCUCCUGAGCUUAGGGAGGGUGUUGUGCAGUUCCAGGGAAGAAACAAGUCCAAUUACAAUCUGUAAAGUUUUCCACUACCAACAGUAGGCUUUUGAUCUGAGAUUGCCACACGUGGUUUAUGUUCUGUGAAAGGCAGAUGUACAAAUAGGAAAGCUCUCUACUAAGUCUUGGCAAAUGCCAUCAAGAAGGUAGGAGGGCUGAGUAACAAGCGAAGUUGAUACUAUAAAGAAAGUAUAAAUUUAUGUCUCUUUGUCCCAAUGAAAAUGGCCAUAUUGAAAAAGAUGCAAACUAUCGCAAGAACAGAUAACCAAAUACUGCAUGUUCUCAUUCAUAGGUGGGAACUGAACAAUGAGAUCACUUGGACACAGGAAGGGGAUCAUCACACCCUGGGUCCUAUUGUGGGGAGGUGGGGGGGGAAGGGAUAGCAUUAGGAGAUACGCCUAAUGUAAAUGACGAGUUAAUGGGUGCAGC